UAACUCUCCAUUCUCUCUUUUUCUCCUGCACAUGUAACCACAGGAGCGCACGGAGCAGGCACGCAUACACACCUACGCCACAGAACCAUGUCAGACUCAGAGAACGCAGCUUCUGCCGAGACCCCUGUCCCAGCACCCUGUGGGGCCAUCAAGGCAGAUUUAGACAAAUGUGUAAAGGAGAAUGGCGAGGAAGCGUGUAAAGAGCUAAUGGAGGCUUUUGCUGCCUGUUUGAAGAGCAAUGCUGAAGCAUCAUGAGGAGCUCAACAUGCAGGAAAAGGGUUAACUGCACGGAGUCCUCCACCUUCCCACCAUUCCCUGCAGCUCAUGGCACUGGACUAAAUGAUGGGGUUUGGGGCAGCAGAGACCAUAUUUGUGUCUCUUCCCUUCUCUUCCGCCCGGUGAACCUCAAAUGGAUUUCUCCAACCUCCCCUCCCCUUUGGUGGCUGAUUGUAGUGAUCUGAUCUGUAGACAGUUUAAAAGUUUAUGUAAAUGAUGUGUCUCAGAUGCUUUAAAAAUGGAAUAAAGAUUUUUUAAAUGGUUCAA